UUCCUAGUACGGCGAGUGAGAGGAAGAGCUCAAAGUUGGAACCUGUUUGGCCUAGCUAAACNNNNNNNNNNNNNNNAGAAGUGUUUUCCAGGCAAGCCGAGUAAAUAAGUCCUUUGGAACAGGGCAUCAUAGAGGGUGAGAAUCCCGUCUUUGGCUUGAGCAUUUGCCUUUUGUGAUACGCUUUCAAAGAGUCAGGUUGUUUGGGAAUGCAGCCUAAAUUGGGUGGUAAAUCUCACCUAAAGCUAAAUAUUGGCGAGAAACCGAUAGCGAACAAGUACCGUGAGGGAAAGAUGAAAAGAACUUUGAAAAGAGAGUUAAACAGUAUGUGAAAUUGUUAAAAGGGAACCGUUUGGAGCCAGACUGGCUUGUCUGUAAUCAAUCUAGGCUUCGGCCUGGAUGCACUUGCAGGCUAUGCCUGCCAACGACAAUUUGACUUGAGGGAAAAAACUAGGGGAAAUGUGGCCCACUUGUGGGUGUUAUAGUCCCUUAGAAAAUACCUUGGGUUGGAUUGAGGAACGCAGCGAAUGCUUAUUGGCGAGUUUUCCAGGAAGGUUUUCUGAGGUACUACGGUAUCAAGGUUGAUCUUUUUGGUUAUACUUCUAUUCGCUUAGGUUGUUGGCUUAAUGACUCU
rnacentral:rRNA from 1 species